rnacentral:snoRNA from 1 species
GUGGAGAGUUGAACCCACGCGGUAUUGAUGACGAGAGCCUGCCCAACGGUGGCGGGCGCUGA